UGGGGAAUAUUGCACAAUGGGCGAAAGCCUGAUGCAGCAACGCCGCGUGAGUGAUGAAGGCCUUCGGAUUGUAAAGCUCUGUCUUUUGGGACGAUAAUGACGGUACCAAAGGAGGAAGCCACGGCUAACUACGUGCCAGCAGCCGCGGUAAUACGUAGGUGGCGAGCGUUGUCCGGAUUUACUGGGCGUAAAGGGUGCGUAGGCGGAUGUUUAAGUGAGAUGUGAAAUACCCGGGCUUAACUUGGGUGCUGCAUUUCAAACUGGAUAUCUAGAGUGCAGGAGAGGAGAAUGGAAUUCCUAGUGUAGCGGUGAAAUGCGUAGAGAUUAGGAAGAACACCAGUGGCGAAGGCGAUUCUCUGGACUGUAACUGACGCUGAGGCACGAAAGCGUGGGUAGCAAACAGGAUUAGAUACCCUGGUAGUCCACGCCGUAAACGAUGAGUACUAGGUGUAGGAGGUAUCGACCCCUUCUGUGCCGCAGUAAACACAUUAAGUACUCCGCCUGGGAAGUACGAUCGCAAGAUU
rnacentral:rRNA from 1 species